UACGUAGGGUGCGAGCGUUGUCCGGAUUUAUUGGGCGUAAAGAGCUCGUAGGCGGUCUGUCGCGUCGAAUGUGAAAAUCCGGGGCUCAACCCCGGACCUGCAUUCGAUACGGGCAGACUAGAGUUCGGUAGGGGAGUCUGGAAUUCCUGGUGUAGCGGUGAAAUGCGCAGAUAUCAGGAGGAACACCGGUGGCGAAGGCGGGUCUCUGGGCCGAUAUUGACGCUGAGGAGCGAAAGCGUGGGGAGCAAACAGG
rnacentral:rRNA from 1 species